rnacentral:lncRNA from 1 species
CUUAGCCUUCUGCAGCUGCAGAGGAAACUGAAUUCCCAGCUUGCCUGCACUUGGUCUGGUCUCUCUUCCUAGAGCCUUACAGUGCCUCAAGCAUCCCUGAUCCACCCCUCCCACAGCCACCUAAGCCAGAGACAAUCAACAGCUUUGGACCAUCUGCUGAGGGAGGCAGGCAGCGCGGCAGGAAGAGUCCUGCUCUGGAGAAACAAGAGACUCAAGGUCUGGUCUGGACUUGCUGCUAACUCAGAGCUGAGAAAAACACGUGUGGGAGUGGAUCUUCACGGUGGUGGACCUGAGGCAUGAGGAAGAAGAUAAGACUGGGCAGGAGAGAAUUGAUUACUACAAGAGCACAUUUUCAUGACUCAGAAUUUGUUCUCCUGAAAGAAUGCCUUGGGCUGGUCUAAUAAUCCUGCAAGAAUGGCUCCUUGAAGCUUAAACAUGAUGACAGCCUACAGUAAGUGAGAUGAAGAUGCCAGGAUUGCCAUAGAAGAGUACCGAUGAAGAGAUCAGAAGGUUCGGGGAUGUGGGUCUGUCAGCAUAAAUUUAUUUCCGAGAAUGAGGGAGCCCACAACUUGAUAAUGUUUAUCAGGAGUGCCCAGAAGCUUUCUUCACUAGGGCAGUAAGGAAUGCACUGGGUGCAGAGGGCAGCAACAUCUUUGAGAAGCCCAAUGGUGACAGUUCUUGUAAGGUUAGGGAUGACAAUAGGCAAUGCUACCAGGAAAAUAGGAUUCAUUCAGAUUCAGCAAAUGUGAAUGACUCUGGAAUAGAAGAGGCCAGUUGGUGCUAUUUAAGCCUGAGAGAGCAGGUGGAAAUAAUUACCUUAAUGGGCAGCAAAGACAGAGCAGCAACCAGGGUUCCUUGUCCACAAGAUCCAUGACAGUGGAUAAUGGACCAUGGUAUUCAUAGAAGUAAGAUAGGUGGGCAGCCAAUUUGACCAUUAUUCGGCUUGGAAAACCAGGAAAUGUCAAGAGCUGGUGAGCAAAAGUUUGAUGUCAACCAUAAUGAAGAAAAACCAAAAUUUCUUCCCAGAUCUUUCUAAACCAGUUUUCAAAACUACUGAGACCAUCGAUUAAAGGAUGCUGGGUCCCCCAAGGAAGAACUAUGCAAUGCCACUACAAAUAUAUACAAUAAACAUUCCCCCAUUCCUUCCCUAAAGUGAUUUGUAGCCACGACCAAUCUAAUACUGGGAAGUUCCAGAUGUGUGUUCACUUGGUGCCCAUUGCCUGGCAUUUCUUCUUUACCAGGACCCAGGAACAUACCG